GAUGAACGCUGGCGGCGUGCCUAAUACAUGCAAGUCGAGCGAACAGAUAAGGAGCUUGCUCCUUUGAAGUUAGCGGCGGACGGGUGAGUAACACGUGGGUAACCUACCUAUAAGACUGGGAUAACUUCGGGAAACCGGAGCUAAUACCGGAUAACAUUUAGAACCGCAUGGUUCUAAAGUGAAAGAUGGUUUUGCUCUCACUUAUAGAUGGACCCGCGCCGUAUUAGCUAGUUGGUAAGGUAACGGCUUACCAAGGCGACGAUACGUAGCCGACCUGAGAGGGUGAUCGGCCACACUGGAACUGAGACACGGUCCAGACUCCUACGGGAGGCAGCAGUAGGGAAUCUUCCGCAAUGGGCGAAAGCCUGACGGAGCAACGCCGCGUGAGUGAUGAAGGGUUUCGGCUCGUAAAACUCUGUUAUUAGGGAAGAACAAAUGUGUAAGUAACUGUGCACAUCUUGACGGUACCUAAUCAGAAAGCCACGGCUAACUACGUG
rnacentral:rRNA from 1 species